AUUGAACGCUGGCGGCAGGCUUAACACAUGCAAGUCGAGCGGAGAUGAGGUGCUUGCACCUUAUCUUAGCGGCGGACGGGUGAGUAAUGCUUAGGAAUCUGCCUAUUAGUGGGGGACAACAUUCCGAAAGGAAUGCUAAUACCGCAUACGUCCUACGGGAGAAAGCAGGGGAUCUUCGGACCUUGCGCUAAUAGAUGAGCCUAAGUCGGAUUAGCUAGUUGGUGGGGUAAAGGCCUACCAAGGCGACGAUCUGUAGCGGGUCUGAGAGGAUGUACCGCCACACGGGGCGUGAGACGCGGCCGAGACUCCUACGGGAGGCAGCAGUAGGGAAUAUUGGACAAUGGGGGAAACCCUGAUCCAGCCAUGCCGCGUGUGGGAAGAAGGCCUUAUGGUUGUAAAGCACUUUAAGCGAGGAGGAGGCUACUGAGACUAAUACUCUUGGAUAGUGGACGUUACUCGCAGAAUAAGCACCGGCUAACUCUGUGCCAGCCGCCGCGGUAA
rnacentral:rRNA from 1 species